GGGAGUGGCUUCUCCGGACUCCAGUGAAGAGAGAAAGUUAGCCAGUUGCUACUCUAACUCUCUGAGCUCACAGGUUUUCACCCUAGCCUUUGAAUCUGAGUUUUAUUGGAGUGGUAGAGAUUUAGUUAAGUCAACUUUUAGUGGCAGCAACAGAGCCAUUAUCUGGGGGGAACAGAACUCCCCCCAGGCUAUGGCCUUAGCGACUGGGCCUUAGUAUUAUAUAAGUCGCAGUCCCUGUAACAAGCCAGGAACUUCUGCCAUGAAGUUUGUCACUACUGGUCUGAAGAAACGGGGCUGACCAGCCUCGGAUCUCAACCCUUGAAAUUGUGAGCCAACUUGAACUUUCCCUCCUGUGGGCUGAUCUGCUUCAGGUGUUUCUCCGCAGCGCAGGAAGCCAGCAAAUGUGCUCCCAUGUUGGGGGUAGGUCGUAGACAGCUGCAAACUGUUAAGCACCCCACUGCAGAGGUCACUCUGACUGACGGGCGGGCGGCAGAGGGCCACUGUCCCAGCACUUCUCCCCUGGAUGGUUCGCUUUCGGUUUGCGGACCGUCCCUCGGCACCCAAACAGCGUCCCUGGCUGCCCACCACGCCGCCUUCCCUGUCUCAACUCUAAAGGCCAUGACCUGGCAAGAAUAUGCAUCCCGGGCUGGCACUGAUCUCGCUGUUAACUCACUGAAAGUCAGGCUUGACUAAGGAGGGAAGUCCUGGGCGUGUGGCCCAGUGGUAGGGCGUUUGUCUGCUGUGCCCUGGGUUCUCCAGAACUGAGAGGGGGGAAAUUAAAACAAAAACAACAGAAAA